CAGUUCGCCAAGUCGGAUGGAGCGUUCGAGUUUCGUGCUUCGGUGCGUCUCUCGGAGAGCCAAAACAAACCCAAGAAAUUGCUCCCCGUCUUUAAAUUUUGGAAAAGGCUCCCAAUAGGGACCCGG
rfam:Caenorhabditis elegans chromosome V